CAUGUGGUCCAACCACCUCAAUUA
rnacentral:tRNA from 1 species